UAAGACGGAGGGGGCAAACGUUGCUCGGAAUCAUUGGGCGUAAAGAGUGUGUAGGUGGCUGAGUAAGUCACAGAUGAAAUCCCAAGGCUCAACCUUGGAAUUGUCUUUGGAACUGUUCAGCUUGAGGAUAGCUGAGGGGAACGGAAUUCCCGGUGGAGCGGUGAAAUGCGUAGAUAUCGGGAGGAACACCAGAGGCGAAGGCGGUUUUCUAAGCUAUUCCUGACACUGAGACACGAAAGCUAGGGGAGCAAACGGGAUUAGAUACCCCGGUAGUCCUAGCCGUAAACGAUGGGCACUAGAUGUUUCCGCUUUUAUGCGGGAGUGUCGAAGCUAACGCAUUAAGUGCCCCGCCUGGGGAGUACGGUCGCAAGGCUG
rnacentral:rRNA from 1 species